rnacentral:rRNA from 1 species
GAUGAACGCUAGCGGAAGGCAUAAUACAUGCAAGUCGAACGGAUGUAGCAAUACAUUAGUGGCGCACGGGUGCGUAACGCGUAUGCAACCUACCUUCAUCAGGGGGAUAACUACCCGAAAGGGUGGCUAACACCGCAUAAUACUACUGAAUGGCAUCAUUUGGUAUUUAAAUCUGAGGAGGAUGAAGAUGGGCAUGCGUCUGAUUAGCUAGUUGGUGUGGUAACGGCGCACCAAGGCGACGAUCAGUAGGGGAACUGAGAGGUUGGUCCCCCACACGGGCACUGAGAUACGGGCCAGACUCCUACGGGAGGCAGCAAUAGGGAAUAUUGGUCAAUGGUGGGAACACUGAACCAGCCAUUCCGCGUGCAGGAAGAAGGGUCUCUGACUUGUAAACUGCUUUAGCAAGGGAAGAAAAAGCUCAUGCGUGAGAAAUUGACGGUACCUUGAGAAUAAGCACCGGCUAACUACGUGCCAGCAGCCGCAGUAAGAC